rnacentral:rRNA from 1 species
UACGAAGGGGACUAGCGUUGUUCGGAAUUACUGGGCGUAAAGCGCACGUAGGCGGAUUUGUAAGUCAGGGGUGAAAUCCCGGGGCUUAACCUCGGAACUGCCUUUGAUACUGCAAAUCUCGAGUCCGAUAGAGGUGGGUGGAAUUCCUAGUGUAGAGGUGAAAUUCGUAGAUAUUAGGAAGAACACCGGUGGCGAAGGCGGCCCACUGGAUCGGUACUGACGCUGAGGUGCGAAAGCGUGGGGAGCAAACAGG